rnacentral:rRNA from 1 species
UAAGUUAAUAAGGGCGCACGGUGGAUGCCUUGGCACUAGGAGCCGACGAAGGACGUGACAAACGACGAUAUGCCUUGGGUAGCUGUAAGUAAGCGAUGAUCCAGGGAUUUCCGAAUGGGGGAACCCAACAGGUAGUACCUGUUACCCAACAUCUAGUUAAGGAUGUGAGGAGGAAGACGCAGUGAACUGAAACAUCUAAGUAGCUGCAGGAAGAGAAAGCAAAAGCGAUUGCCUUAGUAGCGGCGAGCGAAACGGCAGGAGGGCAAACCGAAGAGUUUACUCUUCGGGGUUGUAGGACUGCAAUGUGGACUCAAAGAUUAUAGAAGAAUGAUUUGGGAAGAUCAGCCAAAGAGAGUAAUAGCCUCGUAUUUAAAAUAGUCUUUGUACCUAGCAGUAUCCUGAGUACGGCGGGACACGUGAAAUCCCGUCGGAAUCUGGGAGGACCAUCUCCCAACCCUAAAUACUCCCUAGUGACCGAUAGUGAACCAGUACCGUGAGGGAAAGGUGAAAAGCACCCCGGGAGGGGAGUGAAAUAGAACCUGAAACCGUGUGCCUACAACAAGUUCGAGCCCGUUAAUGGGUGAGAGCGUGCCUUUUGUAGAAUGAACCGGCGAGUUACGUUAUGAUGCGAGGUUAAGUUGAAGAGACGGAGCCGUAGGGAAACCGAGUCUGAAUAGGGCGCCUUAGUAUCAUGACGUAGACCCGAAACCAUGUGACCUACCCAUGAGCAGGUUGAAGGUGCGGUAAGACGCACUGGAGGACCGAACCAGGGCACGUUGAAAAGUGCUUGGAUGACUUGUGGGUAGCGGAGAAAUUCCAAACGAACUUGGAGAUAGCUGGUUCUCUCCGAAAUAGCUUUAGGGCUAGCGUCGACAUUAGAGAUUCUUGGAGGUAGAGCACUGUUUGGGUGAGGGGUCCAUCCCGGAUUACCAAUCUCAGAUAAACUCCGAAUGCCAAUGAAUUAUGGUCGGCAGUCAGACUGCGAGUGCUAAGAUCCGUAGUCGAAAGGGAAACAGCCCAGACCACCAGCUAAGGUCCCAAAAUAAUUGUUAAGUGGAAAAGGAUGUGGGGUUGCACAGACAACUAGGAUGUUAGCUUAGAAGCAGCUAUUCAUUCAAAGAGUGCGUAAUAGCUCACUAGUCGAGUGACCCUGCGCCGAAAAUGUACCGGGGCUAAAACAAUUUACCGAAGCUGUGGAUACCUUUAUAGGUAUGGUAGGAGAGCGUUCUAUGUGUGAUGAAGGUAUACCGUGAGGAGUGCUGGAACGCAUAGAAGUGAGAAUGCCGGUAUGAGUAGCGAAAGACAGGUGAGAAUCCUGUCCACCGUAAGACUAAGGUUUCCAGGGGAAGGCUCGUCCGCCCUGGGUUAGUCGGGACCUAAGGAGAGACCGAAAGGUGUAUCCGAUGGACAACAGGUUGAUAUUCCUGUACUAGAGUAUGUAGUGAUGGAGGGACGCAGUAGGCUAACUAAAGCAGACGAUUGGAAGAGUCUGUCUAAGCAGUGAGGUGUGAAUUGAGUCAAAUGCUUAAUUCUAUAACAUUGAGCUGUGAUGGGGAGCGAAGUUUAGUAGCGAAGUUAGUGACGUCACACUGCCAAGAAAAGCUUCUAGCGUUUAAACAUACUCUACCCGUACCGCAAACCGACACAGGUAGUCGAGGCGAGUAGCCUCAGGUGAGCGAGAGAACUCUCGUUAAGGAACUCGGCAAAAUGACCCCGUAACUUCGGGAGAAGGGUGCUGACUUAAAGUCAGCCGCAGUGAAUAGGCCCAAGCAACUGUUUAUCAAAAACACAGCUCUCUGCUAAAUCGUAAGAUGAUGUAUAGGGGGUGACGCCUGCCCGGUGCUGGAAGGUUAAGAGGAGUGCUUAGCGUAAGCGAAGGUAUGAAUUGAAGCCCCAGUAAACGGCGGCCGUAACUAUAACGGUCCUAAGGUAGCGAAAUUCCUUGUCGGGUAAGUUCCGACCCGCACGAAAGGCGUAAUGAUUUGGGCACUGUCUCAACGAGAGACUCGGUGAAAUUUUAGUACCUGUGAAGAUGCAGGUUACCCGCGACAGGACGGAAAGACCCCAUGGAGCUUUACUGCAGUUUGAUAUUGAGUGUCUGUACCACAUGUACAGGAUAGGUAGGAGUCUAAGAAAUCGGGACGCCAGUUUCGAAGGAGACGCUGUUGGGAUACUACCCUUGUGUUAUGGCCACUCUAACCCAGAUAGGUGAUCCCUAUCGGAGACAGUGUCUGACGGGCAGUUUGACUGGGGCGGUCGCCUCCUAAAAGGUAACGGAGGCGCCCAAAGGUUCCCUCAGAAUGGUUGGAAAUCAUUCGCAGAGUGUAAAGGUAUAAGGGAGCUUGACUGCGAGAGCUACAACUCGAGCAGGGACGAAAGUCGGGCUUAGUGAUCCGGUGGUUCCGUAUGGAAGGGCCAUCGCUCAACGGAUAAAAGCUACCCUGGGGAUAACAGGCUUAUCUCCCCCAAGAGUUCACAUCGACGGGGAGGUUUGGCACCUCGAUGUCGGCUCGUCGCAUCCUGGGGCUGUAGUCGGUCCCAAGGGUUGGGCUGUUCGCCCAUUAAAGCGGCACGCGAGCUGGGUUCAGAACGUCGUGAGACAGUUCGGUCCCUAUCCGUCGCGGGCGUAGGAAAUUUGAGAGGAUCUGCUCCUAGUACGAGAGGACCAGAGUGGACUUACCGCUGGUGUACCAGUUGUCUUGCCAAAGGCAUCGCUGGGUAGCUAUGUAGGGAAGGGAUAAACGCUGAAAGCAUCUAAGUGUGAAACCCACCUCAAGAUGAGAUUUCCCAUGAUUAUAUAUCAGUAAGAGCCCUGAGAGAUGAUCAGGUAGAUAGGUUAGAAGUGGAAGUGUGGCGACACAUGUAGCGGACUAAUACUAAUAGCUCGAGGACUUAUCCA